GGGGAUUUAGCUCAGUGGUAGAGCGGUUGCCUAGCAAGCACAAGGCCCUGGGUUCGGUCCCCAGCUCCA
rnacentral:tRNA from 1 species